UGCUUGGGAAUAUGCCUUUAGGUGGGGGACAACAGUUGGAAACGACUGCUAAUACCGCAUAACGUCUACGGACCAAAGGAGGGGAUUCUUCGGAACCUUUCGCCUUUAGAUUAGCCCAAGUGAGAUUAGCUAGAUGGUGGGGUAAUGGCCUACCAUGGCGACGAUCUCUAGCUGGUUUGAGAGGAUGAUCAGCCACACUGGGACUGAGACACGGCCCAGGCUUCUACGGAAGGCAGCAGUGGGGAAUCUUGGACAAUGGGCGCAAGCCUGAUCCAGCCAUGCCGCGUGAGUGAUGAAGGC
rnacentral:rRNA from 1 species